GCAAGGAUGCCCGAGUGGCUAAGGGGGAAGACUUAAGAUCUUCUGUCGAGAGACGCAUGGGUUCGAGUCCCAUUCCUUGCA